rnacentral:rRNA from 1 species
GAUGAACGCUAGCGGCAGGCUUAAUACAUGCAAGUCGAGGGGCAGCAUGAUUGUAGCAAUACAAUUGAUGGCGACCGGCAAACGAGUGCGGAACACGUACACAACCUUCCAACAAGUGGGGGAUAGCCCAGAGAAAUUUGGAUUAAUACCCCGUAACAUAGCGAUGUGGCAUCACAUUGCUAUUAUAGAUUUUUCGCUUGUUGAUGGGUGUGCGGCUGAUUAGAUAGUUGGCGGGGUAACGGCCCACCAAGUCUACGAUCAGUAGCUGCUGUGGGAGCAUGGUCAGCCACACGGGCACUGGGAAACGGGCCCGACUCCUACGGGAGGCAGCAGUAAGGAAUAUUGGACAAUGGACGCAAGUCUGAUCCAGCCAUGCCGCGUGAAGGAUUAAGGUCCUCUGGAUUGUAAACUUCUUUUAUAAGGGACGAAAAAAGGCUUUUCUAAGUCGUCUGACGGUACCUUAUGAAUAAGCACCGGCUAACUCCGUGCCAGCCGCCGCGGUAAGAC